rnacentral:rRNA from 1 species
CAGCCGCCGCGGUAAUACGAAGGGGGCUAGCGUUGCUCGGAAUGACUGGGCGUAAAGGGCGCGUAGGCGGCGAUCAAAGUCAGGCGUGAAAUUCCUGGGCUCAACCUGGGGGCUGCGUUUGAUACUUGAUUGCUAGAGUGGGGAAGAGGGUCGUGGAAUUCCCAGUGUAGAGGUGAAAUUCGUAGAUAUUGGGAAGAACACCGGUGGCGAAGGCGACGACCUGGUCCUUGACUGACGCUGAGGCGCGAAAGCGUGGGGAGCAAACAGGAUUAGAUACCCCCGUAGUCCCUGUCUCUUAUAC